rnacentral:lncRNA from 1 species
GACAAAUUCCUCUGUCCCAUCCGCCGCCGCCGCACACCACUUGGUCUCCUCCUCUCUCAAUUUCCCCACCGACCCAAUCCCCUCCAUCUCGCAUCAGCUAGCCGUCGCGCCCCUGCUGGAUCUUGUGCAUGAGGAUGAGCCCGAGCCCUCUCCUCUCGAUCCAUGGCUCAUCUGCCGCGAGGCGCUCGCAGCAAUCGGAGGGGAAGCAAUCCUCGCGUCUCCCUCGUGUUCCUCUUCCUCUAUCUUCUUUUUCUCUCAGCCUGAGCUCCUUUUUUUCUGUGCCUACAGGAGCUCCACGAAGGAACCCGCCAUGGUUGCGGCAUCAUGUGGAACGAGCAGCUCCACCGCAUGCAUUCGCGAGCAGCUCAACUGGUCCAGGCCAUCUCUCUUUCUUCCCUCGCUAAUCUCAUCCCUUCCCCUUCUUUUCUCUGCAGAGAAGCUCCCAGGGAUGCCUGAUCCAUGGAGGUGAGUCGCCGAGAAGAUUGCCGUUGCGCCUCGAGAUCAUCGGGAAUGGACGGAUCCGGGCAGCCCCACCCCAGAUCCGGCGUCCCCGCCUCCGGAUCGCCCACCAGACGUGCUGCCGGCGCCGUUGACGCGCAGCAACCUCCAUGGCCGGACGCACCUCUUUCUCAGGUUCAGAUUCAGUCAUAGCAUUUUCAAUCCCGUUCACACAUGCGGUUCUGUCAGUUCAUUAGGCGACAUCCAUCACUUUUAGCACCAGCACACAGCAGCCGAGUUGGCUAGCACAACCGGACUUGUUGCAAGAGCUUGUGGGUUCGAGUCCCCACGGAAGUACCAUUUUUCACUCAUUUUUUCCAUCACGAAAGGAUCAGCUAUUUGACAUUGAUCCCCUAUUGUGUCACAAACAUGUAGUAGGCAAGAUGGUCAAUCCAUAAUUCUAGCAACCAAGAGGUCCUUGGUUCGAAUCCUAGCCAAGCCCCUAAUUUUUUUGCUAUUCUGUAUUGUUUUGCACAGCCACACAUCCAAGCACAUGGGCCGAAAGCUUUCGCUGGCUGCAGCCUUUUGCAUAGAUUCGGCCCAGUAGUGGUUUAUUUAGCACGUGCAAUUUUUCUUUAAUUUCAGAAAAAUGCAUUGUUUUUCAAACGCUCGUAGUUUCUUAACCGUGCACCGGAUCGGAGUGAUUUAAAUAUGUAACUUGGCUAGAAUUUUGCUUAGAAUAAUAUUUUCCAACUCUCAUGCAUAAUUAAAACUGUUUAGUGUGUUUUUGGCAUCGUUUUGUGUGCCAACGUGUUGAAAACGGUUUAGGUCGUAACUAUUUGUCCAUAGCUCCGUUGGAGAUGUGCCAUAUAUGUAAAUGGACCAGAACGACGAGUAGAAUCACGUGUUCCACUUUGUUUCUCCGUUUAACAAAUAUAAAAUAUGAUUAGGACAAAUCUGGACAGAAUUAAGAUUUAACACGUGGGGUCAUUUCGGAGAUGCUAUAUGUCGUUUCCGGUCUCAUUUAAAAUGACUAGCUAGGUAGAUUAAUUUGUGCUUCACCCUCAUGCCAUGUUUAACAACAUUUAAUAUAUCCGUGUACCUGAACGGGAGUGAACUAAAUAAUUCAACGUGGAGUUUCGUCGAUAUGCAACUCGUUGCAUAUCGAGCUUCACUUAAUGUGUAGUGUUUGAUUGUUGUGAUUGUCAUGCCUUGCAUUAGACCGUUCAUGCAUCAUGUGUGUCUUGCAUCGUGUGGUGUAUAUCGUGUGUUGAUGCUUGUUUCCGGUUUCCUCCGUCUCGAUAGAGUUCCGCAAGCGUGUCGGAUGUGAGGGUCGUUCGACUACGUCGGUUCGUCUGCUUCGCAGAGUCAUUCUUCUUCGAAGCGGGAUCUCAGGCACGAUGAUCAUUUCCCCAGAUACCAUUACUAUCAUUGCCAUGCUAGUUAUCGCUUCUACCAUUUAUGUCUCGUUGCCUACCACAUGUUUCCAUAUCCGCCUCUCAACAAUGCCAUGAUUACCUUCAACCUGUUCGACCUAGCAAACCACUGAUUGGCUAUGUUACUGCUUGCUUAAUCUUGUUGUUAGCGUUGUUAGUUGCAGGUGCAGUUGCUUCCAUGUGAAAACAUGGGUUCCUUGUCAUAUCACCCUAUUAAAUGCCAUUUAAUUUAAUGCACCUAUAUACUUGGUAAAAGCUGGAAGGCUUGGCCUUUCUAGCCUGGUGUUUUGUUCCACCUUUGCCCCCUUAGUUUUCGGCUACCGGUGUUAUGUUCCAUAAAUGAGCGCUCCUAACACGAUCGGGGUUGUUAUGGGGACCCCCUUGAUAAUUCGUUUUAGAUUAAAGCUGGUCUGGCAAGGCCCAACUUUGGUACUACAUUUGCCUAAUAACUAACGAACUACAUAGGGAGUAAUUAACCCGAGGAUAUUUAAUCAACCCCCGGGCCAGUGCUCCUCAUGAGUGUUGGCCCCACCUGAGCGAUGUCCGGCGCCCCUCUGGUCACCUGGAGGUUUAGCGAUCCCGACGUCUAGCUCAUCCGUCGUGUCCUGAGAACGAGGUACGCGACUCCUAUCGGGAUCGUCGACACGUCGGGCGGCCUUGCUGGAUUAGUUUUACCUUUGACGAGAUAUCUUGUGCAUUGGGAUUCCGGUGAUGCUUUGGGUAAUCUCAGAGUUGAGGUUUUCCACUAGGGAAUCCGACGAGAUCGCGAGCUUUGUGAUUGAGGAUUUCUAUGCAGCUUGUGGUAAUUUGUGAUGGACUAGUUGGAGCACCCCUGCAGGGUUAAAUCUUUCGGAAAGCCAUGCCCGCGGUUAUGUGGCAACGUGGAAGCUUUGUUUAACACUGGUUCUAGAUAACUUGAAGUUAAUUAAUUAAAAUAUGCCAACUGUGUGCGUAACCGUGACUGUCUCUUUCGUGAGUUCCUUCUCCCAUCGAGGACACGGUGGGGUUAUGUCUGAUGUAGGUAGGUGUUCAGGAUCAUUCGCUUGAUCAUCAGUAGUCACGUCCGCUAUGCGUGGAUCUUCCCCCUCUUAUUUCUGGUAUUCGUAAGUUAGCCACCAAAUAUGUGCUUAGCCGCUGCUGCAACCUCACCACUUAAGCAUACCUCACCCAUUAAGCUUUGCUAGUCUUGAUACCUUUGGAAAUGAGAUUGCUGAGUCCCCCGUGGCUCACAGAUUACUACAACACCAGUUGCAGGUACAGGUAAAGGUUACUUGACGCGAGCGCGUUGAUUGUUCAUUUGGAGUUGCUUCUUCUUCUUCUGCAUCGAUCUAGGAUGGGUUCCAGGCCGGCAGCCUGGGAUAGCAAGGAUGGACGUCAUUCUUCUUUUGUCGUUUGUUUUCGUACGUAGUCGGACCCUGCUCUUACUCUUGAUGUUUAUGUAAUGUACUGGUGUGACUCUGAUGUAGCUUGUGGCGAGUGUAAGCCAACUCUUUAUAUAUCUCUUCUUUUCAGUACAUGUACUUCUAACGAUAUCCAUUCUUGCGACACGAUGAGAUGCGCUUCUAUCCCCGACGAGGCCCUCGUGCCAAAUUGAGGAUAGGGUCGCAUCUUGGGCGUGACACUCAUGCCAAGACCACUAUCACACAUGCACUCACAUAUCCCACCAAGGUGACACAACAACACAAGGAUCAAAACAAAGAAGACAAUAAUAUGAUGCUAUGCAUGAUGCAUGAAGCACAUGAAAUGAUGACACCACUAAGUCUUACAUCCAUCUCAUUAACAAUCCAAGGUUGCCAUACAAGGAAAUAU